rnacentral:rRNA from 1 species
GACGAACGCUGGCGGCGUGCUUAACACAUGCAAGUCGAACGGAAAGGCCCUGCUUUUGUGGGGUGCUCGAGUGGCGAACGGGUGAGUAACACGUGAGUAACCUGCCCUUGACUUUGGGAUAACUUCAGGAAACUGGGGCUAAUACCGGAUAGGAGCUCCUGCUGCACGGUGGUGGUUGGAAAGUUUCGGCGGUUUGGGAUGGACUCGCGGCUUAUCCGCUUGUUGGUGAGGUAGUGGCUUACCAAGGCUUUGACGGGUAGCCGGCCUGAGAGGGGUACCGGCCACAUUGGGACUGAGAGACGGCCCAGACUCCUACGUGAGGCAGCAGGGGAGAAUAUGGCACAAUGGGCGGAAGCCUGAUGCAGCAACGCCGCGUGCGGGAUGACGGCCUUCGAGUUGUAAACCGCUUUCGCCUGUGACGAACCGUGAGUGACGGUAAUGGGUAAAGAAGCACCGGCUAACUACGUG